rnacentral:rRNA from 1 species
CACAUACUCUUCUAAAAAAAAGAGCAGACCCCAUUGAAGACGGGAGUGAGGUAUAACAAGGCCAUUUCCGUCUACCUUCUCACGGAGCUGUAUGUGGACGUUACUGCUCAUACAACUCCCAGCUAGCAAGUAGUUAGCUUUCCUCUAGAAGUCAUGGAAGUGUGGAUAAAUUGACAGAAGGUUUUUAUUUCUUAA